GACGAACGCUGGCGGCGUGCCUAAUACAUGCAAGUAGAACGAGUGGCGAAAGGGUGAGUAACGCGUAGGUAACUGCCUCAUAGCGGGGGAUAACUAUGGGAAACGAAAGCUAAUACCGAAUACUGUGAGAUAGACCUGAGUUGUAUUAGCUAGUUGGUGGGGCAACGGAUCAACAAGGCCACGAUACAUAGCCGACCUGCGAGGGCGAUCGGGCUGACUGGGACUGAGGCAAGCCCCAGACUCCUACUGGAGGCAGCAGUAGGGAAUCUUCGGCAAUGGACGGAAGUCUGACCGAGCAACGCCGCCUGAGUGAAGAAGGUGUUCGGAUCGUAAAGCUCGGGUGUUUGAGAAGCGGUAACUAACCAGAAAGCGACGGCUAACUACGUGCCAGCAGCCGCGGUAAUAC
rnacentral:rRNA from 1 species